GAUCGCAGGCUGCAACCCGCCUGCGUGAAGUUGGAAUCGCUAGUAAUCGCGGAUCAGCAUGCCGCGGUGAAUACGUUCCCGGGCCUUGUACACACCGCCCGUCACACCAUGGGAGUCGGAAAUGCCCGAAGUCUGUGACCCAACCAUUAAGGAGGGAGCAGCCGAAGGCAGGUCGGAUGACUGGGGUGAAGUCGUAACAAGGUACC
rnacentral:rRNA from 1 species